CACCGCGCGGCCUCUAAUUCGCUUGGUGCAGGUCGGGAACCGCUGCUACUUUGGCGUUUAAUGAAUGAGGCGGUGGUUGACGGUGGCGAAUUGGUUCCCGCCUUGCAUCAACUGAAUCGGAGGCUGCGGUGGUU
rfam:Lupinus angustifolius cultivar Tanjil chromosome LG17, whole genome shotgun sequence.